rfam:Helicobacter ailurogastricus isolate ASB9 genome assembly, contig: Scaffold_028
GGACAGGUGGGUGAGUUGGCUGAAACCACAUCCCUGCUAAGGAUGCGUAGCCGUAAGGUUACCGAGGGUUCGAAUCCCUCCCUGUCCG